GAGCUGUGAAGAAUUCUGCGCCUGAUGUGAUUGAUGGGUCGAUCACAGCCGUCUGAUAAUUUCGGACGAAAAUUGGCGCACCUGAGCUU